CACAGGUGGGAUUGCGUUUUUAAUUAUUGAAUAGGCAUUAAGAGUGAUUAGGUGGCUUAAAGCUAGUGGUUGGCACCCCUUGCCAAGCACAAGACAAGCUUAUACUUGGCUAGAGUUAAAAGAGGAAAGUUAGAGGAAUAACCAAAGGAAGGAUGAAAUCUAUAGAUGUUGGUUGGAACAUCAAAGGCGACAGCAUCACUUUAUUUUUUAACUGACACUGAAUCACUAAAGUGUGGGGAGCGAACUGG
rnacentral:rRNA from 1 species